ACCUGAACUCAGUCGAGAU
rnacentral:rRNA from 1 species